rnacentral:rRNA from 1 species
AAGCCUGAUGCAGCGACGCCGCGUGAGGGAUGACGGCCUUCGGGUUGUAAACCUCUUUCACCAGGGACGAAGCGUGAGUGACGGUACCUGGAGAAGAAGCACCGGCCAACUACGUGCCAGCAGCCGCGGUAAUACGUAGGGUGCGAGCGUUGUCCGGAAUUACUGGGCGUAAAGAGCUGGUAAGGGCGGUUUGUCGCGUCGUCUGUGAAAUUCUGCAACUCAAUUGCAGGCGUGCAGGCGAUACGGGCAGACUUGAGUACUACAGGGGAGACUGGAAUUCCUGGUGUAGCGGUGAAAUGCGCAGAUAUCAGGAGGAACACCGGUGGCGAAGGCGGGUCUCUGGGUAGUAACUGACGCUGAGGAGCGAAAGCGUGGGUAGCGAACAGGAUUAGAUACCCUGGUAGUCCACGCCGUAAACGGUGGGUACUAGGUGUGGGUUCCUUUUCACGGGAUCCGUGCCGUAGCUAACGCAUUAAGUACCCCGCCUGGGGAGUACGGCCGCAAGGCUAAAACUCAAAGGAAUUGACGGGGGCCCGCACAAGCGGCGGAGCAUGUGGAUUAAUUCGAUGCAACGCGAAGAACCUUACCUGGGUUUGACAUACACCAGACGCGGCUAGAGAUAGUCGUUCCCUUGUGGUUGGUGUACAGGUGGUGCAUGGCUGUCGUCAGCUCGUGUCGUGAGAUGUUGGGUUAAGUCCCGCAACGAGCGCAACCCUUGUCCUGUAUUGCCAGCGGGUUAUGCCGGGGACUUGCAGGAGACUGCCGGGGUCAACUCGGAGGAAGGUGGGGAUGACGUCAAGUCAUCAUGCCCCUUAUGUCCAGGGCUUCACACAUGCUACAAUGGCUGGUACAGAGGGCUGCGAUACCGUGAGGUGGAGCGAAUCCCUUAAAGCCAGUCUCAGUUCGGAUUGGGGUCUGCAACUCGACCCCAUGAAGUCGGAGUCGCUAGUAAUCGCAGAUCAGCAACGCUGCGGUGAAUACGUUCCCGGGCCCUUGUACACACCGCCCGUCACGUCAUGAAAGUCGGUAACACCCGAAGCCGGUGGCCUAACCCCUUGUGGGAGGGAGCUGUCGAAGUGGGAUCGGCGAUUGGGACGAGUC